rnacentral:rRNA from 1 species
GACGAACGCUGGCGGCGUGCUUAACACAUGCAAGUCGAACGGAAAGGCCCUGCUUUUGUGGGGUGCUCGAGUGGCGAACGGGUGAGUAACACGUGAGUAACCUGCCCUUGACUUUGGGAUAACUUCAGGAAACUGGGGCUAAUACCGGAUAGGAGCUCCUGCUGCAUGGUGGGGGUUGGAAAGUUUCGGCGGUUGGGGAUGGACUCGCGGCUUAUCAGCUUGUUGGUGGGGUAGUGGCUUACCAAGGCUUUGACGGGUAGCCGGCCUGAGAGGGUGACCGGCGACAUUGGGACUGAGGUACGGCGCAGACUCCUACGGGAGGCAGCGGUGGGGAGUAUUGCACAGUGAGCGGAAGCCUGAUGCAGCGACGCCGCGUGCGUGAUGACGUCCUUCGGGGUGUAAACCGCUUUCGCCUGUGACGAAGCGGGAGUGACGGUAAUGGAUAAAGAAGCACCGGCUAACUACGUG